rnacentral:rRNA from 1 species
UACGUAGGGUGCAAGCGUUAAUCGGAAUUACUGGGCGUAAAGCGUGCGCAGGCGGUUGUGCAAGACAGAUGUGAAAUCCCCCGGCUUAACCUGGGAACUGCGUCUGAUACUGGAGGGCUUGAGUAUGGGAGAGGGAUGUAGAAUUCCAGGUGUAGCGGUGAAAUGCGUAGAUAUCUGGAGGAAUACCGGUGGCGAAGGCGGCAUCCUGGACCAUUACUGACGCUGAGGCGCGAAAGCUAGGGGAGCAAACGAG